rnacentral:rRNA from 1 species
UCGGGAAUUUUGGGCAAUGGGCGAAAGCCUGACCCAGCAACGCCGCGUGAAGGAUGAAGUAUUUCGGUAUGUAAACUUCGAAAGAAUGGGAAGAAUAAAUGACGGUACCAUUUAUAAGCUCCGGCUAACUACGUGCCAGCAGCCGCGGUAAUACGUAGGGAGCAAGCGUUGUUCGGAUUUACUGGGCGUAAAGGGCGCGUAGGCGGUGUGUCAAGUCAGUUGUGAAAUCUCCGAGCUUAACUCGGAACGGUCAACUGAUACUGUCACACUAGAGUACAGAAGGGGCAAUCGGAAUUCUUGGUGUAGCGGUGAAAUGCGUAGAUAUCAAGAGGAACACCUGAGGCGAAGGCGGGUUGCUGGGCUGAUACUGACGCUGAGGCGCGAAAGCUAGGGUAGCAAACAGGAUUAGAUACCCCCGUAGUCCCUGAGCGGGCUGGCAAGGCGCAU